AAUAAACGUUGGCGGUGCGCCUUAUGCAUGCAAGUCGAACGACUGAGCAUAUAACUUGUUAUGUGCUCAGUAGUGGCGAAUGGCUGAGUAACGCGUAAGUAACCCGCCUUGGAGUGGGAAAUACCCUGCCGAAAGGCGGGCUAAUGUCCCAUGUGGUAGUGAGGCGUAAGCUUCAUUAUUAAAGCUUUCGGGCGCUCCAAGAGGGGCUUGCGUCUGAUUAGCUAGUUGGUAGGGUAAUAGCCUACCAAGGCGAUGAUCGGUAGCUGGUCUGAGAGGAUGUCCAGCCAGAUGGGGACUGAGACACGGCCCCAACUCCUACGGGUGGCAG
rnacentral:rRNA from 1 species